rnacentral:rRNA from 1 species
GUAGGGGGCAAGCGUUGUCCGGAAUCAUUGGGCGUAAAGCGCGCGUAGGCGGCCCGGUAAGUCCGCUGUAAAAGUCCAGGGCUCAACCCUGGAAAGCCGGUGGAUACUGUCGGGCUCGAGUCCGGAAGAGGCGAGUGGAAUUCCUGGUGUAGCGGUGGAAUGCGCAGAUAUCAGGAGGAACACCGAUGGCGAAGGCAGCUCGCUGGGACGGUACUGACGCUGAGGCGCGAAAGCGUGGGGAGCGAACAGGAUUAGAUACCCUGGUAGUCCACGCCGUAAACGAUGGGCACUAGGUGUGGGAGGUGUCGACUCCUCCCGUGCCGGCGCUAACGCAUUAAGUGCCCCGCCUGGGGAGUACGGCCGCAAGGCUAAA